UCUACUCAUAUAGUUUGCACAACUUUAUUGCCUUUUAUGUCCAUUGGAAUUUGUAAAGGCAGAUAUUCGAGACUUGUUGUUCUCAGGCGUUGACGUUUUAUAUUUACUGUGAGGAUACUAUUAACUAGGAUUAUGCUUUUCUUCCCAGCGACCCAUCUGUCUACAGAGGAGUUUUUGGAACAGUGGAUAUCGCAAACAACGAAGGGUCCGUUCAGAUUUCGGCAUUGUCAUUAUUUACCCGGAUGGGAUGUUCCCUGACGUUCUUCAGAAGAAGACGGUGACGAUAACCAGCCAGAUGUCCUGCAAUGACGACUGGUCACUGCUAGAUUUGACCAUCGGCGGUGACAAACUGUGUGCAACAGCUGAAGGCUUCUCUGAGAGAGACAGCGGCGGACCAUUGGUUUGUGGGGGGAGAUUAGCUGGUCUGGCUUCCUUUGGUGGGUCAUGUGCCGCCAAGGUUCUUCCAAAUGUCUUCACAAAUAUAGGUUUCUUUUUCAGUUGGAUACAAGGUCAAUAAAAAUCUAUGUAUAAUCCUAUUUAUAUUCUAUUUUGGUUGGACAACCAGAGGAUUCAAUAAGAAA